rnacentral:tRNA from 1 species
UCCCUGGUGGCUCAGAUGGUAAAGCGUCUGCCUGCAAGGCAGGAGACCCAGGCUCGAUUCCGGGCUCAGGAA